rnacentral:rRNA from 1 species
GAUGAACGCUGGCGGCGUGCCUAAUACAUGCAAGUCGAGCGAACAGAUGAGGAGCUUGCUCCUCUGUCGUUAGCGGCGGACGGGUGAGUAACACGUGGAUAACCUACCUAUAAGACUGGGAUAACUUCGGGAAACCGGAGCUAAUACCGGAUAAUAUAUUGAACCGCAUUGUUCAAUAGUGAAAUACGGUUUUGCUGUCACUUCUAGAUGGAUCCGCGCCGCAUUAGCUAGUUGUUAAGGUAACGGGUUACCAAGGCAAGGAUGCGUAGCCGACCUGAGAGGGUGAUCGGCCACCCGGGAACUGAAACACGGACAAGGCGCCUAAGAGAGGCAGCAGUAGGGAAUCGUCCGCAGUGGGCGGGAGCCUGACAGAACAGCGCGACGUGAGAUGUGAAGAUGUUGGGUGCGUAAAGACCUGUUAUGAGGGGAAAACAAAUGUCUCAGUAGAUGUACACGUCUUGACGGUAACUGGUAAAGAAGCCACGGCUAACUACGUG